AACAAUAUAAAUAUAUGAGUAAAUAUUGUUUAUUGAUGACAUAGUUCAGUAAAAAAAAAUCCCAAAAUGUACUCAUGAUUCUUGACAACAUGUAAAAAAGAUUCAAGAGUUGCUUGUCAAUAUGGUCCUGAAAAAUGUUAGCAAGAAAUUCAGAACAUCAUGACAAAUAUAUAUACAAAACAUCCACGGAAAAUAUCUAAGGUUCAGAAGAGACUGAUUAUCACUGAUAAUAUAUUAGUUAAUUUUUCGUUUUUAUUAAUUUCAAUAAUGGAGGAAUUAAAUCAACAUUUGAAUUCUGUCAAAAUACCUAAGGGUGAUGUUAAAAUUUACAAGGAUGAAUGUGUAUUUCCAUUUGAUACACCGGAAUGACCAAAUGGAUUAUUCAUCAGUUUGAAAACAUUUCUUGGUUUCAGUCGUGACUUUGUUAAAGACUACUACAAAAAAACUGGAAAUGCGAUUUUUUUAAAUAUCAAAAGAACCAAACAAAUUUGUCUCAAUGAAUCUUUAUUAUAUUUAUUUAUCAAUCAAUAAAUAAUAAUAAUUAUUGAUAAAUUAAUUUUUUAAUAUUUUUUAAGGCACAAAUUAAUCAAAAUAAUGAUGGACUAGCUGAAAAAAUAACAAAGCUAGCUAUUGGUACACCAGGUGGUUUUAUACCAGAUGAAAAAAAAUAUACUUAUGAUAAAACUUAUGAAAUAAUAAUAUUACCAAAUUUUACAAGUAUCAAGUAUCCAUCAGUUGAUUUACCAGAACAGGUAUAAAUAAAUAACGCUAAUAAUAAUAUACGAAUUGAAAUAUAAAUAUAAUGUCCGCGCGCUGUCUCUCAUGAAAGUGUUUAUCUAUAUAUAGUUGAGCGGCACGCAAGUGCG